rnacentral:rRNA from 1 species
UACGUAGGGUGCGAGCGUUAAUCGGAAUUACUGGGCGUAAAGCGUGCGCAGGCGGUUCUCCAAGUCCGUUGUGAAAGCCCCGGGCUCAACCUGGGAAUGGCAGUGGAAACUAGGGGACUGGAAUCUGGCAGAGGGGGGUAGAAUUCCACGUGUAGCAGUGAAAUGCGUAGAGAUGUGGAGGAACACCGAUGGCGAAGGCAGCCCCCUGGGUCAAGAUUGACGCUCAUGCACGAAAGCGUGGGGAGCAAACAGG